ensembl:misc_RNA
UUGACAGCUAUAUCAAUGAAGUCACUUAUUUAUCUAAAGGACAGGCACAGCACAGGCAGCCCGAGGGCAAGUUUCCCAUACACACACUGCCCUCAUACUGACCUGGAAGGAUCACAUCUAAGCAUGAAAGGGUAUUAUCUAUAUCUAUGCUCAGCCCGU